UACAGAGGUCCCAAGCGUUGUUCGGAUUCACUGGGCGUAAAGGGUGCGUAGGCGGUCGGGUAAGUCUGACGUGAAAUCUUCAAGCUCAACUUGGAAACUGCGUCGGAUACUAUUCGGCUCGAGGAAUGGAGGGGAGACUGGAAUACUUGGUGUAGCAGUGAAAUGCGUAGAUAUCAUUUGGAACGCCAAUGGUGAAAACAGGUAGCUGGGGCUGUGCUGACACUGAGACACGAAAGCCAGGGGAGCAAACGGG
rnacentral:rRNA from 1 species